rnacentral:lncRNA from 1 species
CUAGCUCUUCAUGCCAGCCUUGGGAUUCACAGCUGUCCUCUUCCCCUCUGACUUCUCCUUUUAAUUGGAUGGCUCCUCCCAGAACCUCCAGGGAACAAAGGGACCCAGACCAACUAUGUCUUAUUCUUCUCCAGACUACACUAUAGACUUCCUCUUCCAUUUCCCCCACCCCCCUCCUUUGUUCUAUCCUGAGAGAUGGAAAGUAAUCUCAGAAGGGAGAGAUUAGCCAUGGGAAGGAGAGAGGAGAUAAAAGGCUUCUUAGAGAAGGUAACCCAAACAGAUAAAAUAUUUGACCUCAGCAAAUUCCUGUCCUUCUUCUUCAGAGACCUACUUAUUCUUUUAGUGAAAGCAAGAUGUUUUCAGGAAAUCUUGGAAUCCAACUAAAGGAAGUGGCUUAAUGGCACAAAGAGCCACAGUCUAUACUCUGCCCAUCAAACUGCAUUUUUUUUUCUGGACCAGUAGUCAAAAAAACAGCACGAGUUUAUAGUUAGACUGGUGGACCUGAAAGCAGAAGAGACUUGUAUUUGGAUCCUGACUCUGGCGCACAUUAACUCUCUGAUCAGGGAUUAUUAACUUCUUCAAGCCUAGAUGUCAUUAUCAUGGGAAAUAAUAAUUUUUAGAGUACUCCACAAAUUAUUAAAAUCACCAUAACAUGUAAAGUUUUUUGCUAAAUCUUUAAGUAUUACAUAAAUAUCUAGCAUUAUUAAAAGUGAAAUA